CCGCUCAGAGGUAAACGGGUGGAGUUGAACUGCGAACCCUGAGAAUUCAACUGGUGAGUGUGGUAUGAGCUUGGCAUGAAGGUUGGCUCUGCGGGUCUGCUUAGCUGCAGGUCUUCGCCUUUUGGUGGAGAUGCGCGAUACACUUGUCAAGUGGUGCGCGCUCGUUGAGUUUCUCGGACAUACUUGCCAGUGCACUUUCUCGGGGUGUUCACCACGACCGGCGCCGCUACUUGUCCAAUAUGGUUAAACCGGUCUUGCUUGGUCCCUGUGGCUUUGCUUGAUCGGGAUGGCAGGUAACUCGUUGACUUGUGUGUUGACCUCGGUUGGCAUGCGCUUGGUUUUCGAGUGUAAUCAGCUGACUGUAUUGGUGCUAUGUGGUGCGUCGGAGACGGCGGCUUGUGGUGUGUGCCUGCGUGCCUAUUUGCUGACGGAACCGGGUUUGGUUAUUAUGUUGCCUGUUUUGCAGGCCUGGUGAUGGCUCGGUUUCGCUUGGUGGAUGGGAGCGUGGGUGACACUUAUCAGGGCCUAUAGUCUGUGGUGUUGUGGUAGACUAUCCACCUGACCCGUCUUGAAACACGGACCAAGGAGAGUAACAUGUGCGCGAGUCAUGGGGUGUUACGAAACCCAAAGGCGAAGUGAAAGUAAAGACUUGACUUGUUCGAGUUGAGGUGAGAUCCUGUCGUUUCUCAUGCGCGGUACUUCCAAGCAUUCGAGCGAUGGGCGCAUCACCGGCCCGUCCCAUGGUGUGGUCACUGUCUUCGGAUUGGUGCGUCACCGGGGCGGAGCAUGAGCGCACAUGUUGAGACCCGAAAGAUGGUGAACUAUGCUUGCGCAGGUUGAAGCCAGAGGAAACUCUGGUGGAGGACCGUAGCGAUUCUGACGUGCAAAUCGAUCGUCAAACGUGAGUAUAGGGGCGAAAGACUAAU
rnacentral:rRNA from 1 species